GGCUCAGUUGGUGGAGCAUUUGCCUUGCAUGCACAAGGCCCUGGGUUCCAUCCCCAG
rnacentral:tRNA from 1 species